UACAGAGGUCCCGAGCGUUGUUCGGAUUCACUGGGCGUAAAGGGUGCGUAGGUGGUCGGGUAAGUUUGAUGUGAAAUCUCCGGGCUUAACCCGGAAACUGCAUUGAAUACUAUUCGGCUGGAGGGUUGGAGGGGGGACUGGAAUUCUCGGUGUAGCAGUGAAAUGCGUAGAUAUCGAGAGGAACACCAGUGGCGAAGGCGGGUCUCUGGACAGUUCCUGACACUGAGACACGAAGGCCAGGGGAGCAAACGGG
rnacentral:rRNA from 1 species